ensembl:lncRNA
GUAAGCAGAGCCUGUUAUAUCUAAAUCUGCAUAUUGGCUAUGAACUAAAUUUUGAACCUGUGGAAAACGUAUUGGGAGACUGGUUUAAAUUCAGGGGGUCAGGGGAACGGUCUGUGAGUUAGAGUCUCACUAUAAGUCGGGUUAGAGGCCCGUUACCGGUGUGUGAGUUAGAGUCUCACUGUAAGUCGGGUUAGAGGCCCGCUACCGGUGUGUGAGUUAGAGUCUCACUGUAAGUCGGGUUAGAGGCCCGUUAAUCGUUCUAGGGUUGACUACCCUACGCCACUUCCCGACGGGGACGGUGGAGAGUUGCGAGUUAGAGUCUCGGCAACCAGUCGGGUUAGAGGCCCGAGGACUUAGGGGCACCUCGAAGUACUUAUUGUGUGUAAAGGUUCAUCUGGGUUAGAGUCCCGGGGAGUUUUAGAACUCCCCAAAUUCUGUAUCUGGGUUAGAGUCCCGGGGAGUUUUGGAACUCCCCAAAUUCUGUAUCUGGGUUAGAGUCCCGGGGAGUUUUAGAACUCCCCAAAUUCUGUAUCUGGGUUAGAGUCCCGGGGAGUUUUAGAACUCCCCAAAUUCUGUAUCUGGGUUAGAGUCCCGGGGAGUUUUAGAACUCCCCAAAUUCUGUAUCUGGGUUAGAGUCCCGGGGAGUUUUAGAACUCCCCAAAUUCUGUAUCUGGGUUGGAGUCCCGGGGAGUUUUGGAACUCCCCAAAUUCUGUAUCUGGGUUAGAGUCCCGGGGAGUUUUGGAACUCCCCAAAUUCUGUAUCUGGGUUAGAGUCCCGGGGAGUUUUAGAACUCCCCAAAUUCUGUAUCUGGGUUGGAGUCCCGGGGAGUUUUGGAACUCCCCAAAUUCUGUAUCUGGGUUGGAGUCCCGGGGAGUUUUGGAACUCCCCAAAUUCUGUAUCUGGGUUGGAGGCCCGGGGAGUUUUGGAACUCCCCAAAUUCUGUAUAAGAGAACUGGGUUCAAGUCCCAAAAAGUGUUGGGUCAGGGACCCGUUCAGCUGGGUUAGAG